rnacentral:rRNA from 1 species
UACGUAGGGUGCGAGCGUUAAUCGGAAUUACUGGGCGUAAAGCGUGCGCAGGCGGUUUUGUAAGACCGCUGUGAAAGCCCCGGGCUCAACCUGGGAACUGCAUUGGUGACUGCAAGGCUUGAGUGUGUCAGAGGGAGGUGGAAUUCCGCGUGUAGCAGUGAAAUGCGUAGAUAUGCGGAGGAACACCGAUGGCGAAGGCAGCCUCCUGGGAUAACACUGACGCUCAUGCACGAAAGCGUGGGGAGCAAACAGG